GUUGAUCGAGCAACGAUAUAAAUUAUUACAACGGAUACGUUGAUAACACGAGAAUUGAAUAGAUACAGUGGUCAGCUGCAUAUCUUUCGAGUUUAAGUUAUCGUUAUAAAGUGUUUGCUGCAGUCCUAUGCACAACAAAAUAAUACAAUUACAAAAUAAUAUUGCUGGCAUACUUGAAAUGAAAGAUUAAGGAAUGUCUUUAAUAAGGACUGAUUGACGUCAAUAGAUUGCCUACUUAUUAUGAUAAUGCGAUACGUGAUUUCCGAUAUGCUGUACUUCUAAAAUCAUUGUAACCGCAAUAAUCAUGUUUACUAAAAACUGUCCUACGAUACGAAAGAAGUAUCUCUGAUUAUGAAUCAAAGAAAGAUGGUCACGGUGUAUCUUACAAAGAACAUAAAAUUCCCCUUUAUUUAUCAUUAAAAAAACUCUCAUUCUCACUCUCUUUCUCUGUUAUUGAAAAUAUGAUAUAUAUGAUAAUAUGAAAGUCGAGCUUUGUUUACGAGUAAAGCAGACUCAGAUUCGAUGAUGAGCUAUGUAAAUCGAUAUUCGCAUAUGAUCGGAUCGAUAACAUUACGAUCUGUUCGCAUUCGUCGUUGACUGGAAUCGAACGAACGUUGACUGGAGGAACGAAAAACACAAAAAGACUAUUGAAUUUUCCGAAACAAGACAGAAUCAUACUCAUUUAGAACUUUUAGGUCGAUGCCACGCGAGAUCGAAUUCUCGGAAUGAAACGAGGAUGAUCACGAUUCCAUCAUGAAGUUAUUUUCGAUUUCCUUCGAGGCACAAAAGAAGUAGUUUGCGAAAUAUCCUAAAUAUGUGGGAAGCUGGAAGAGGCAUCAUUUGGGAAGCAAAUAAACUGGUAACCAAACUCUUCCUUCUUCGUUUAGUUUCCGAAGUGUAAAUAUGCAGCAUAACGAAAAAAUGAUCAAAAUUCUAAACUAUAUAAUUUUAAAUAAUUACGACUAAUAACAUAAAUAUACCUACGAUCUGAAAAAUUUGACGAACAUCAGGAUCGUCAAUGAAUCCAUUCAGCUUUCAACAAUAUGUAUCGAUACGAAAGGCAAUAGUUGGCCAAUCGAAAACAGUAAAAUACUUUCGAUAUGUUUCUCUUCUCCGUAAUUUUUUCUUCCUUUUCUUCUACACAUACCCGCAUUAUUUUCUCCCGUUUGGCAAAUAAAGCGGAAACAAUUGUCACGCCACAGUAAAAGAACAUUGUUUUCAUUGAACAAAUUAAUUCCUUUCUUACUUCGGCAUCGUUCACUUUCGAAAAGUUAUCGAAAGUCUGUUAUUUUCCUGAUGUGUUACGAAUCGAUAUAUUUCACAAGCAAACAUUUUGUAAUCUUGAAUAGCAUUGUUAUCUGAGAGUCACGAAUUUCAAGAAAAUCGUUAUCGAGUUGAAUUCGACAAACAAAACCUAUUCUCGAAGAAUAGCAUGGACUCGAACCUAGUUGAGACGUCGAGACGAAUGUAACGAUUAUAAAUGUGUCGAUAUUAUCGACGAAAAUAAAUAUCAUUUGAUAUGUGGUGCCCUCACGAAAUCAAUCAACAUUUAGCAUUUAUAUGACACAUGUCUGUAUUGAACCAACUGCAUCAACCGAUUCGCCUUUCAUCGAUCUGCUUGAUGUCUUUAAAACUUUAACUGUAAUUAUAUACAUUUAAUAGUUCGAAUAACUAUACCAUGAGACUGUACUGAGGUAUUUUUAUCUUCUGUUUCAAAGUGUUACUCUUUACUUUCUUUAAAAUAAAUUUAAAAGUAUAAGAGCUUUUACAUUUCGUACCGGUCUUUGCGAUAUAAAAGACAGACGAUUAAAAAAGUAAUGCGUAAUGAAUUGGAAUCCAAUUAUCGAAGUAAUUAAAUAUUUGGUUUGUACAUAUUACGCUCUUAUUUGUAUUUUGCAAACAAGUAAACGCUCAAGAAUACACGCGACUGAUGAUAGGCAUGUUCACAAUAACAAAGCAGUAUAUGUAUGUAUAUAUGUUUGACAAAUGUAACAUUUUCGAUAGUUAUCUUGACAGUGACUAUUUCACGUAGAAUCUAUAAUCAAUAAUCAAUAAUGCUGAAACAGAUUUAAAGGAUUUGUUCAAAAACCUGUUGCGAUCAUUUACCAAACGAAAAAUUCAUGAUACACAAAGCGCUUGCGCGCACUGAUUAAACCAAGUUGUGAUAUUAUGCAAUAGCUCGAAAGUUAUCGAUUCAUAGCGUCUUCAUUACGAAGGAGAGAUUACGAGGCGAUGUCGUUGUUAAAAACACGUAAUCUUACAAAAGCGCGUUUCAUGCUGAUUUUGUUCGAUUCGUUUAGUUUAUAUAUAAUGAACAUUAUUUUCUUGACGUUUUACAUCAUUUAUAAAGCUUUAUUUGUCGUCAUCGUCCAUACAAUUGUUCUCUAACUUACUCUUUGUACAAUAUGAUACAUACAAUAUACAGUAGUUGUUACCAGGAAUACUGGGUAAACCAAUAGGGAAGUUCGGAUUAGUGGACGUUAGGCGUUAUAAUCGUUUGAUGUAUUGUCGUUUGA